rnacentral:rRNA from 1 species
CCAAGCCUACGAUCUAUAGCUGGUUUGAGAGGAUGAUCAGCAACACUGGGACUGAGACACGGCCCAGACUUCUACGGAAGGCAGCAGUAGGGAAUCUUGGACAAUGGGCGAAAGCCUGAUCCAGCCAUGCCGCGUGAGUGAUGAAGGCCCUAGGGUUGUAAAGCUCUUUCGCCAGGGAAGAUAAUGACGGUACCUGGUAAAGAAACCCCGGCUAACUCCGUGCCAGCAGCCGCGGUAAUACGGAGGGGGUUAGCGUUGUUCGGAAUUACUGGGCGUAAAGCGCACGUAGGUGGAUUAGUCAGUCAGAGGUGAAAUCCCAGGGCUCAACCCUGGAACUGCCUUUGAUACUGCUAGUCUAGAGUUCGAGAGAGGUGAGUGGAAUUCCAAGUGUAGAGGUGAAAUUCGUAGAUAUUUGGAGGAACACCAGUGGCGAAGGCGGCUCACUGGCUCGAUACUGACACUGAGGUGCGAAAGUGUGGGGAGCAAACAGGAUUAGAUACCCUGGUAGUCCACACCGUAAACGAUGAAUGCCAGUCGUCGGCAAGUAUACUUGUCGGUGACACACCUAACGGAUUAAGCAUUCCGCCUGGGGAGUACGGUCGCAAGAUUAAAACUCAAAGGAAUUGACGGGGGCCCGCACAAGCGGUGGAGCAUGUGGUUUAAUUCGAAGC